rnacentral:rRNA from 1 species
AGAGUUUGAUCCUGGCUCAGGACGAACGCUGGCGGCGUGCUUAACACAUGCAAGUCUAAGGAGAAAGUUCCUUCGGGAGCGAGUAAACUGGCGAACGGGUGAGUAACGCGUAGGUAACCUGCCCUUAAGUCUGGGAUAACCCACCGAAAGGUGAGCUAAUACCGGAUAAUAUCUCUCCUCAUCAGAGGUAGGGAUUAAAGAAGGCUUCGGCUUUUACUUUUGGAUGGGCCUGCGUCUGAUUAGUUUGUUGGUGAGGUAACGGCUCACCAAGGCAGUGAUCAGUAGCUGGUCUGAGAGGACGAUCAGCCACAUUGGGACUGAGAUACGGCCCAGACUCCUACGGGAGGCAGCAGUGGGGAAUUUUGCGCAAUGAGCGAAAGCUUGACGCAGCAACGCCGCGUGAUCGAAGAAGCUCUGCGGAGUGUAAAGAUCUGUCAUAGGGGAAGAAAAAUUCCGUUAUUAACACCAUCGGAACGUGACGGUACCCUAUAAGAAAGCCCCGGCUAACUUCGUGCCAGCAGCCGCGGUAAUACGAGGGGGGCUAGCGUUGUCCGGAUUUAUUGGGCGUAAAGAGUUCGUAGGCGGGUCAGUCAGUCGAAAUUGAAAUCCCACGGCUUAACCGUGGACCCGGUUUCGAUACUGCUGAUCUUGAGUGAGACAGAGGUAAGCGGAAUUCCUGGUGUAGCGGUGAAAUGCGUAGAUAUCAGGAGGAACACCGAAGGCGAAGGCAGCUUACUGGAUCUAUACUGACGCUGAGGAACGAAAGCGUGGGGAGCAAACAGGAUUAGAGACCCUGGUAGUCCACGCUGUAAACGAUGAGUACUUGGUGGUGGGGGAUUCGACCCCUUCACUGUCGGAGCUAACGCGUUAAGUACUCCGCCUGGGGACUACGACCGCAAGGUUGAAACUCAAAGGAAUUGACGGGGACCCGCACAAGCGGUGGAUUAUGUGGUUUAAUUCGAUGCAACGCGAAGAACCUUACCUACCCUUGAAAUCCAGCGAAGUUCCUAGAGAUAGGAAUGUGCCUUCGGGAACGCUGUGACAGGUGUUGCAUGGCUGUCGUCAGCUCGUGUCGUGAGAUGUAUGGUUAAGUCCAGUAACGAGCGCAACCCCUAUCCUUAUUUGCCAGCGCAUAAUGGCGGGAACUAUAAGGAGACUGCCGGUCAUAAACCGGAGGAAGGCGGGGACGACGUCAAGUCAUCAUGGCCCUUAUGGGUAGGGCUACACACGUGAUACAAUGGGUGGUACAGAGGGUCGCCAAAGCGCGAGCUGGAGCCAAACCCUUAAAACCAUUCUUAGUCCGGAUUGGAGUCUGCAACUCGACUCCAUGAAGUUGGAAUCGCUAGUAAUCGCGAAUCAGAAUGUCGCGGUGAAUACGUUCUCGGGCCUUGUACACACCGCCCGUCACGUCAUGGAAGUGGGUUGCACCAGAAGUGGCUUGUUUAACCUUCGGGAAAACGGUCACCACGGUGUGAUUCGCAACUGGGACGAAGUCGUAACAAGGUAACC